UACAGAGGUCUCAAGCGUUGUUCGGAAUCACUGGGCGUAAAGCGUGCGUAGGCUGUUUCGUAAGUCGUGUGUGAAAGGCGCGGGCUCAACCCGCGGACGGCACAUGAUACUGCGAGACUAGAGUAAUGGAGGGGGAACCGGAAUUCUCGGUGUAGCAGUGAAAUGCGUAGAUAUCGAGAGGAACACUCGUGGCGAAGGCGGGUUCCUGGACAUUAGCUGACGCUGAGGCACGAAGGCCAGGGGAGCGAAAGGG
rnacentral:rRNA from 1 species